CGUUCACCUAUUCCUCCUGCCACUAAACAUGUCAACGGCUAAGCCAUAGUCCUGAUAGUUUUCACAAUAUAAUCAUUUGUUUGCAACUAACGCCGUCCAUUGACAUUCAUUGAAACUUCACUCUGCAAAGCUCAAAUUUGAAGUGCAAUUUCUAAACUGCGACUGUGCCUUCAAUUUUAAUACUUCAGAGACAGACUAUGC